AUCAUAGACAUCAUAGUUCAUGAGGUUAGACAUGGCAGAGAUCAUGGUAGACUUGCCGGUGCCCGGUGGCCCGUAUAGGAGAUAUCCACGCUUCCAAGCCUUACCAAUCUUCUUGUAGUAGUCCUUCCCCUUGCUGAACUUAAGGAGAUCAUUGAUAAUUGACUGCUUCUCUUUUGGCUCCAUUGCCAAGGUCUCAAAUGUUGCAGGGUGCUCAAACACUACAUGGCUCCACUUAGCCCCCUUCUCAGUAUUGUUGAUGUAAAGCUUGCGCUGCCUAUUGCUCAAUGCAAUUGCCUUCCCUUCUUGCCUCACAUGGUCAAGAUAAGAGCCCAUGACCAAAUCCCUGUGGCGUCUGUGGAAGGUCAGCUUGUAGUGCUUCCUCUCGUCAUAGUCAGGAAAGAAAGAGAAAGAUGUCUUUUUAGACGCACUUUUCAUUGAAGCCCACCAGAGCUUGAUGCCCUGAAAUUCAUCGGUGACCUCUUCGUUGUCAUCCAUGCCGAGAACAAGGGCCGUGCUGCCCUUGACAUCAUGAGCCUUGAGCCGUUUUGCUCGUGUGGAGGACUUGGUGCUGAGGUAGCUUUGGAUGGAGGCAUAGACUUCGCUGCGUUUGUGAAACUCAUUGGUGUAUUCAUCAAAGGAGAUUUGGAUGUAAGGGUAGACAUAGCCCACCAGUUUUUUGGUGUAUUUGUCAAGGAUGUUGCCAAGAUCGUCUGGGAGGAAUUGUUUGAACAUGGCAUAGACAAACAUCAUGCUGGCCAUCACUGAGCCCAGCUGAGCCCACAUUUCCCCCAUCUUCAUCAUCUUUCUCCUCUGCACUGACACUGACAAAUUGUUGAAAUUGAUAAAUAAAUAAAUAAAUAAAGAAGUAGUGGUUUCCUUUUUGCCAUGACACCGACGAACUUGUGUUUAUAUAAGGAGGAAGAGAGUUUCUGUCGGUGAUCAAGAGAGAGAGCAGCCUCUCGCGUCUCAUCAAAACUCAAUUUCGUUUAAGCUUCCACUCAAUUUCCUUUUCAUCUCAGCGGCAGCCUACCAUGUUUGACCAUUGCAAAAGUUAAUGCAAAUAUCACCCUCAGAGCAUUAAGCUGUGGCAUGCACCAAACAAUAUCAACCUUUUUGACCCAAAAAAAAAAACCAAUAUGGACCUUUGAAUGACUGGUUGGUGAAUGUGAGCUAAUCCACAGCAUUGAUCCAGUUUAGUAUUCCUAUGCUAUGAAAAUAAUCGUUUUUUUACUGCUUAUGUAGGUUAAAUUUUUAAUGAAAACAAAAACAAACAAAAAUAGCUGGAACGUGAAACACCUUCCACUGCUGCUCUCACUCUCUCUGUUCCACCAUUGCUCUUGCUCUCUUUUCUUCAUGUUGGGUUUCUUGGUUCGAACGCCCCCCUUCAACUAUUAUAGUCAAUUAGAGUUAGGGGCAAAUACGGGUCCAUUUACCAUGAAAUCAAUAUUAGUGCUCGGUCUUCGUUUGGUAAUUUUCAUUAUCAAUUUUAUAACUUUAUUAUGUCUCUGAAUUGGUUGUUUUCAGUAUGAGCAAAUUACAUCUUGGAAUUGGAAUUGAGAAAUUUAUGAGUGAGUUGUUGUUAUUAUUGUGGUGUGCAAAAUUGUGUAAUGUUGGUUGUGGGGACUUGAAGAAAAUUUUGGUUGGACCACCAGUUUGCAUCAUCAAGAUCAGAAGCUUAUAUCCAAAGACAUGGAGAUGCGACCAAAUGCAUAGACUUACUUUAAAGAAAGGUGCGCAACUUUUUGGGAAAGCCACAUAAAUCUCAAUUUCUCAACAAACAAAAAAAAUCUCAAUUUCUCAUAAGAAUAUGAGAAUUGAUACUUUGUUGGGUUAAAUAUCUUUUUUGUCAUUAAGUUUUACACAAAAUUUCAAAUUGGUCACUAUUUUACUCAAAGUUUACAAUUUAUAGACAUUCCAUUAACUUCCUUUAAGUGGCUCACGUGCAUGACACGUGUAAAGCCUUUAAUGAUUGAAUCUAAAGAAGUAUAGAGUUCAACGCUGAACCCUAUAGAGUCGUUAAUGGUUGAAUCAAGAGGAACAUUUUUUUGUGAGUUAUUUACACUAACACCUUUUCAUUGAUUUUUCGUCUAAAGAUUGAUGAUUUUCAGCAAGGGAUGGCUUUCAAUGGAAAGCAUACCAAAACUGCCAGAUCUCAAGGAGGAAAUUUCAAGUCUCUGUGGAACAAGAAGCCACUAGAUUAAUGGGCGUGUCCCAAAUAAGCUCCAACAUAUUGCCAACUGCUGUCCAUUUGUUCAAGCGGAGGGUGAUUUCCUCUCAGGUCUGUUCAAGGCGUGGAAAAUAUUAUGCGGAUGCUUGUCAUGCCGUUCGGUUCUGCAAACUUAGGAAAUUCUGGAGGUCUACUAAUGAUGGGCUAUAAAGGUUUCACUCGUUUUGUGGUUGCACUUGCAAGUGACAAUCAAGAAGUUGUAUCUAUGCCCAAAGGAAUAACGGACUGGUGGAGCAAUGUAGGAGGAAGUCCUUCUCUAUUGGUUUGGUUGGAUCCCUCUGUGUAGGGUGUUGUUAUCACCAAUUUUCUGUAAUUGCCAUGUUCAUUAAUGAAUAUCCCCUAUUGUCUCGCAAAACAAAUAUAUUUAUAGUUGACAUCUUUCAUACGACAAACAAAGACAACAAGUCACAUCUUCAAGAGGUAACGGCCUAAUGCCUUGUUCAAUGGGCAUAAUGACUUCUUCUUCAAGGGGUCACACCAUUUUCUUUUACUUCUGCAACGGAUGUUCCUUUCACUUCAUCUUUUGUUCCAUUACAUUUCACUUAUCUUUAGAAUUACCAGAUUUUUCCUUCUCUUUCUCUUCCUUCUCUGCCUUCAAUUUUGCUUCUUCCUCUGCUUUCUUUCUUGCUUCUUCCUCUGCCUUCACUCUUGCCUCCACCUUAGCAGCCUCGAGUGCUUCAAUCAAGCUCUUCAAACAAGAGUCUGCAUCCUCUGUAUCAGAUUUGAGCAUCAAAUUCUCAGCAACAUCAGCCGGAGUCAUAUCGGUUUCUCCCAACAAACGCUCGAUGGUUCCAAACAACUCAUGUGAUUCUACAUCCAAAUAAUUCCUUGCAAGCACUUUGAAUGCUUCAAAGCAACAGUAGGACAGCUGAAUAUGCUUGUCCAUUCUUCCUCUUCUAAUGAGAGCAGGAUCAAGUUUGUCCACAUAGUUUGUGGUAAACACAAUCAGUCUCUCCCCUCCACAAGCUGACCAAAUCCCAUCAAUAAAGUUGAGCAGCCCAGACAGAGUGACCUUGCUUGUUGUGGUUUCUUCUUCUUCAGGCUUUUUAGGAAUCGGGUCCUUCUCAUCCCCAUCUUUUUCCUCUUCUUGCUUCUUCUUCUUCUUCCGUUGUCCGGUAAGAUCAAGCGAGCAAUCAAUGUCCUCGAUCACGAUAAUCGCCUUACCAGUUAUAUCAAUCAACAGCUUCCUCAGCUCUGUGUUGUCCUUGACAGCAGUUAACUCGAGAUCAUAGACAUCAUAGUUCAUGAGAUUAGACAUGGCAGAGAUCAUGGUAGACUUGCCCGUGCCCGGUGGCCCGUAUAGAAGAUAUCCACGCUUCCAAGCCUUACCAAUUUUCUUGUAGUAGUCUUUCCCCUUGCUGAACUUCAUGAGAUCAUCGAUGAUCGAUUGCUUGUCUUUCGGGUCCAUUGCCAAGGUCUCAAAUGUUGCAGGGUGCUCAAACACUACGUGGCUCCACUUGGCACCCUUCCCUGUAUUGUUGAUGUAAAGCUUGCGCUGCCUAUUGCUCACUGCAAUUGCCUUCCCUUCCUGCCUCACAUGGUCAAGAUAAGACCCCAUCACAAU
rnacentral:lncRNA from 1 species